AAGCUCAUUUUGAGGACAAUUUCUUAAUAAUCCUUUGUAGCGAUCCCAUGCCUCAUAAAGUGACUCACCCGGAUUUUUCUCAAAAUUGGUUAUUGCCUACCUAAGUUU